AACGAACGCUGGCGGCAUGCCUAACACAUGCAAGUCGAGGGGCAGCACAAGGAGCAAUCUGAGGUGGCGACCGGCGCACGGGUGCGUAACGCGUGAGCAACAUGCCCGUAUCAGGGGGAUAAUCCAGGGAAACUUGGUCUAAUACCCCAUAGUAAUCAUAUCAGGCAUCUGGUAUGAUUUAAAGCUUAGGUGGAUACGGAUUGGCUCGCGUGACAUUAGCUAGAUGGUAAGGUAACGGCUUACCAUGGCUAUGAUGUCUAGGGGUUCUGAGAGGAAGGUCCCCCACACUGGAACUGAGACACGGUCCAGACUCCUACGGGAGGCAGCAGUGAGGAAUAUUGGACAAUGGAUGGAAAUCUGAUCCAGCCAUGCCGCGUGAAGGACGACGGUCCUAUGGAUUGUAAACUUCUUUUGUAUGGGAGCAAUAAGGUCUACGUGUAGAUCGAUGAGAGUACCAUACGAAUAAGC
rnacentral:rRNA from 1 species